GCCGCGCCGGGUGCAAGAUGUCGGCGCAGGGAGACUGUGAGUUCCUGGUGAAGCGGGCCCGGGAGCUGGUGCCGGGGGACCUGUGGGCGGCCAAGGCCUGGCUCAUCACGGCGCGGAGCCUCUACCCCGCCGACUUCAACAUCCAAUAUGAGAUGUACACUAUUGAGAGGAAUGCUGAGAGGACAGCGUCUGCAGGCAGGCUGCUCUACGACAUGUUUGUGAAUUUUCCAGACCAACCUGCUGUGUGGAGGGAGAUCAGUGUUAUUACAUCAGCAUUAAGGAAUGACUCCCAGGACAAGCAGACACAGUUUUUAAGAGGAUUAUUUGAGACCCUUCCUGGUCGGGUGCAGUGUGAAAUGCUCCUGAAGGCAACAGAGCAGUGCUUUAACACAUUAGAAAGGGCAGAAAUGCUCCUUCUCCUUCUGCGGCGUUUCCCAGAGACCGUGGUGCAACAUGGGGUAGGCCUUGGAGAAACAUUAUUAGAUGCUGAAAGUAUUGAAGACCAAGAAUCUCCAGUGAAUUGCUUUAGAAAAUUAUUUGUUUGUGAUGUUCUUCCUCUGAUAAUUAACAACCCUGAUGUACGACUUCCUGCCAGCUUGUUAUAUAAAUACCUGAAUAAAGCAGCAGAAUUUUAUAUUAAUUACGUAACUAGAUCUACGCAGACAGAAAGUCAAUAUCAAGGUUCACAAGAUUCCUCUGAUAUUAUGUCUCCAAGCAAGCGCAGCUCUCAGAAAUACGUAAUAGAUGGCCUCACAGAGAAAUCAUCCCAGAUUACAGAUCCUUGGGAGAGGCUGUUUAAAAUACUGUCUGUGGUGGGAAUGAGGUGUGAGUGGCAAAUGGAUAAGGGAAGAAGGAGUUACGGUGACAUUCUGCAUCGAAUGAAAGAUCUCUGCAGAUACAUCAGUAACUUUGAUAGUGAAGCCCACAUUAAAUACAAGAAUCAAGUAGUGUAUUCCACAAUGUUGGUCUUCUUUAAAAAUGCUUUUCAGUAUGUCAGCAACAUCCAGCCGUCACUCUUUCAAGGUCCAAAUGCUCCAAACCAAACUCCACUGGUGCUUCUUGAGGAUGUACCCAACAUCUAUGGUGAUACAGAUAUUGAUCGUAACAAACACAUACACAAGAAAAGGAAACUUGCUGAAGGAAGAGAAAAAACAAUGCAGAGCUCAGAUGAUGAGGAUCCUUCUGGGAAGGCAAGAAGUCGCCAUAUUACAGUAAAUAAGGCUGAUCUUGCAAACUCCAUUGAAGUAUUAGAGAGUUUCAAACUGGCAAGAGAGAGCUGGGAGCUGCUUUAUUCUCUGGAAUCACUUGACAAAGAGUUCACCAGAAUUUGUUUGUCAUGGAAGACAGAAACCUGGCUUUGGUUAAGAAUCUUUCUUACAGACAUGAUCAUCUACCAGGGGCAGUACAAAAAAGCAAUUAGCAGCCUACAUCACUUGGCCGCUCUUCAGGGCUCUCAUUCUCCCCAGCAAAUUACAGGACAAGGAUCUUUAGAAAACCAGAGAGCACUGAUCCAGUUAGCAUCGUGCCACUUUGCCCUUGGAGAAUAUCGGCAAACGUGCGAAAAAGUGCUUGACCUCAUGUGCUGUAUUUUACUUCCAAUACAAGAAGGAGGUAAAGUACAAGAGGAGCAACCUAAAGUCAAGUCAAAAUUCAGGAAAGGGUCUGAUUUGAAACUUUGGCCAUGUACCAGUAGAGCUAUCAUGCCUUACUGCCUUCAUCUGUUGUUAGCUUGUUUCAAGCUCAGAGCUUUCACAGACAGCAGAGAUGAUAUGGCCCUGGGCCAUGUAGUUGUUCUGCUCCAGCAUGAGUGGCCGAGGGGUGAGAACUUGUUCCUGAAAGCCAUCAACAAAAUCUGCCAGCAAGGAAACUUCCAGUAUGAGAAUUUUUUCAACUAUGUCACAAAUAUUGAUAUGUUGGAGGAAUUUGCUUAUUUAAGAACACAGGAAGGAGGGAAAAUUCAUCUGGAACUCCUGCCAAAUCAAGCAAUGUUGAUCAAGACCUCUAGCCCUCCCAUGGGGUUACUUCAGCAGGAAUUCAUACCUGUGCUACAGCCCAGCAUACAGACUGCUGACAGGCACCACACAGUUACCCGGGGUAUAACGAAAGGAGUGAAGGAGGAUUUCCGCCUGGCCAUGGAGCGCCAGGUCUCGCGCUGUGGGGAAAAUCUCAUGGUGGUCUUGCACAGGUUCUGCAUUAAUGAGAAAAUACUGCUGCUGCAGACUCUUGCUUGAACGGACUGGAUCCUGAUGCAGUGUCUUUUAUGGAGAGAGGGGAAGGCUCUUUGUAUGAACAAGCAGCAUAGCAGUGGAAAAUCUCUUGUUCAGAGGGUCAAGAAGUUCCCUGUAAGUUACAGGUUCUGCACUGCUUGAUUUCUUAUAGUGGAUGAGUGCCAACCAAUCUGGUCAGAUCUGCUGCCUUUACAAACAAAUGCUGACUGCCCUUCAAAGCUCUGGGGUUUCUGGUAGGAGACAAUGGAAGCGAAGAAAACAAAAGAAUAGUAUCAGUGCAGAAAGAAUCAUAAGGAAUAUGUCUCCUGAUGUGUUUUACUGACCUGGGUAUAAAAAUGGAGCACCUGACCACCAUUUCUUGACAUCCACAAGGUAAUAUAUCAGCAGUAAUAGGAUGAAGGCAAAACAGCUCAUGGUUGUCACAUAUGAUAUUGACCUACAAACAUUUUCAGUAGAAAGAGUAAUAUUUAGAGAACUGUGUGAUACAGAUCUCAAUGUACAAAAGAUAAAACAUUCCCUAAGCUAAAAUAGUACUUUAACAAAAUCAUA